rnacentral:rRNA from 1 species
GAUGAACGCUGGCGGCGUGCCUAAUACAUGCAAGUCGAGCGAACGGACGAGAAGCUUGCUUCUCUGAUGUUAGCGGCGGACGGGUGAGUAACACGUGGAUAACCUACCUAUAAGACUGGGAUAACUUCGGGAAACCGGAGCUAAUACCGGAUAAUAUUUUGAACCGCAUGGUUCAAAAGUGAAAGACGGUCUUGCUGUCACUUAUAGAUGGAUCCGCGCUGCAUUAGCUAGUUGGUAAGGUAACGGCUUACCAAGGCAACGAUGCAUAGCCGACCUGAGAGGGUGAUCGGCCACACUGGAACUGAGACACGGUCCAGACUCCUACGGGAGGCAGCAGUAGGGAAUCUUCCGCAAUGGGCGAAAGCCUGACGGAGCAACGCCGCGUGAGUGAUGAAGGUCUUCGGAUCGUAAAACUCUGUUAUUAGGGAAGAACAUAUGUGUAAGUAACUGUGCACAUCUUGACGGUACCUAAUCAGAAAGCCACGGCUAACUACGUGCCAGCAGCCGCGGUAAUACGUAGGUGGCAAGCGUUAUCCGGAAUUAUUGGGCGUAAAGCGCGCGUAGGCGGUUUUUUAAGUCUGAUGUGAAAGCCCACGGCUCAACCGUGGAGGGUCAUUGGAAACUGGAAAACUUGAGUGCAGAAGAGGAAAGUGGAAUUCCAUGUGUAGCGGUGAAAUGCGCAGAGAUAUGGAGGAACACCAGUGGCGAAGGCGACUUUCUGGUCUGUAACUGACGCUGAUGUGCGAAAGCGUGGGGAUCAAACAGGAUUAGAUACCCUGGUAGUCCACGCCGUAAACGAUGAGUGCUAAGUGUUAGGGGGUUUCCGCCCCUUAGUGCUGCAGCUAACGCAUUAAGCACUCCGCCUGGGGAGUACGACCGCAAGGUUGAAACUCAAAGGAAUUGACGGGGACCCGCACAAGCGGUGGAGCAUGUGGUUUAAUUCGAAGCAACGCGAAGAACCUUACCAAAUCUUGACAUCCUUUGACAACUCUAGAGAUAGAGCCUUCCCCUUCGGGGGGCAAAGUGACAGGUGGUGCAUGGUUGUCGUCAGCUCGUGUCGUGAGAUGUUGGGUUAAGUCCCGCAACGAGCGCAACCCUUAAGCUUAGUUGCCAUCAUUAAGUUGGGCACUCUAGGUUGACUGCCGGUGACAAACCGGAGGAAGGUGGGGAUGACGUCAAAUCAUCAUGCCCCUUAUGAUUUGGGCUACACACGUGCUACAAUGGACAAUACAAAGGGCAGCGAAACCGCGAGGUCAAGCAAAUCCCAUAAAGUUGUUCUCAGUUCGGAUUGUAGUCUGCAACUCGACUACAUGAAGCUGGAAUCGCUAGUAAUCGUAGAUCAGCAUGCUACGGUGAAUACGUUCCCGGGUCU